rnacentral:ncRNA from 1 species
CAAGGGACUUAAAUAAUUUGAGCACCUAGGUGGGAAACCCCUAGUGUGAAUGGAGUCAAAUUCGGGGAAACCUCAGCAAGUUUUAGGAUGGUGGCAAUCCCGAGCUAAGCCUUAAAGGAAAGCGUAGAGACUUGACGGCUCCUACCUAAAUCAUUAAUUAUUUGAUUAGUGAUAAGGUAAAGAUAAAGUCCAGACCACAAAUGUAUUUGGUA